rnacentral:rRNA from 1 species
GACGUAGGGCGCGAGCGUUGUCCGGAUUUAUUGGGCGUAAAGAGCUCGUAGGCGGCUUGUCGCGUCGACUGUGAAAAACCCGCGGCUCAACUGCGGGCCUGCAGCCGAUACGGGCAGGCUAGAGUUCGGUAGGGGGAGACUGGAAUUCCUGGUGUAGCGGUGAAAAUGCGCAGAUAUCAGGAAGAACACCGGUGGCGAAGGCGGCCCCACUGGUCCGGUACU